rnacentral:rRNA from 1 species
GACGAACGCUGGCGGCGUGCUUAACACAUGCAAGUCGAACGAUGAAGCUGGAGCUUGCUCUGGCGGAUUAGUGGCGAACGGGUGAGUAACACGUGAGAAAUCUGCCCUUGACUCUGGGAUAACUGCGGGAAACUGUAGCUAAUACCGGAUACUUUCCCUGGUGGGCAUCCACUGGGGAAGAAAGAAUUUCGGUCAAGGAUGAUCUCGCGGCCUAUCAGCUUGUUGGUGAGGUAAUGGCUCACCAAGGCGACGACGGGUAGCCGGCCUGUGAGGGGGACCGGCCACGCUGGGACUGGGACACGGCCCAGAAUCCUACGGGAGGCAGCAGGGGGGAAUAUUGCACAAUGGGCGCAAGCCUGAUGCAGCAACGCCGCGUGAGGGAUGAAGGCCUUCGGGUUGUAAACCUCUUUUAGCAGGGAAGAAGCGAAAGUGACGGUACCUGCAGAAAAAGCACCGGCUAACUACGUGCCAGCAGCCGCCGUAA